rnacentral:rRNA from 1 species
GACGUAGGGCGCGAGCGUUGUCCGGAUUUAUUGGGCGUAAAGAGCUCGUAGGCGGCUUGUCGCGUCGACUGUGAAAACCCGUGGCUCAACCAUGUGGUCUGCAGUCGAUACGGGCAGGCUAGAAUUCGGUAGGGGAGACUGGAAUUCCUGGUGUAGCGGUGAAAUGCGCAGAUAUCAGGAGGAACACCGGUGGCGAAGGCGGGUCUCUGGGCCGAUAUUGACGCUGAGGAGCGAAAGCGUGGGGAGCGAUCCGG